rnacentral:lncRNA from 10 species
CGCGGGCCGUGAGGACUUGCCACUAGAAACGUUUAUGGUGUCCCGGCCCGGAGACUUCUGUGUGUUUGUUAGGCGGGGCGGGGGGCGUCUUCCCAGCAGCCCAGGACAGGUGUGUGCCCAGGCGGAUUAGAGCGCCUGCUGUUGUUUUGAAGAAUGGAUGGUUACAUAACAGAUGGCCAGCUGGUCUACCUAGAAGGGCCUUACAAAGGACAGUGCCUCCGUGGGGAAGGCUCACCCUGGAUCAGACGCCGGAUUGCAGAUUUACCAUGAAUGAAGCCCUUGGAGACUGAAUCAUGUUAAAAAUUCAAAAACAACUCAGUAAAUAUUUAUUUGAAGUCCUGCUGUUCUUCAAGGCCCUGGAAUGCAGAUAUGAGAAGAGUCACUGCUGCCCAAGAGCUGACUGACUGUGGAGGAAGACCAUGCUAGCAGGUGGCUACGUUUUCUACCACCUAGCACCUGCUCCCCCUUCUCCUGGUAAUGGUAUCUGCAAAUAAUCUCCUCAGUCUGUGUGCUUUCAGUGGAACUGAAUCUACCCCUGGUUCAAGAGCUCAGGUUUCUCAACAGGGGUCCCUCAUGUGAACUACAGAAUAUAGAAAGAUUGAAUGACUAAUUAUACUAGAACCAUUCAAGAUGCAUAGGAGAGAACUCAGUUUGUUACACACAGGAGAUUCCUUAAAGAACUAAAAGUAAGACUAUCAUUAGAUCCAGCAAUCCCACUACUGGGUAUCUACCCAGAGGAAAAGAAGUCAUUAUACGAAAAAGAUACUUUCACAUGCAUGUUUAUAGCAGCACAAUUUGCAAUUGCAAAAAUGUGGAACUAACUCAAAUGCCCAUUAAUCAAUGAGUAGAUAAAGAAACUGUGGUAUAUCUAUACAAUGGAAUACUACUCAGCCAUUAAAAGGAAAGAAUUAAUGGCAUUUACAACGACCUGGAUGAGAUUGGAGACUAUUAUUCUAAGUGAUAUAACUCAGGAAUGGAAAAUCAAACAUCGUAUUUUCUCACUCAUAAGUGGGAGCUAAGCUAUGAGGAUGCAAAGGCAUAAGAAUGACACAAUGGAUUUGGGGGACUCAGGGAAAGAGUAGGAAGGGGGUGAAGGAUAAAAGACUACAAAUUGGGUGCAUUGUGUACUGCUUGGGUUAUGUGUGCACCAAAAUCUCACAAAUCACCACUACAGGACUUACUCAUGUAACCAAACACCACCUGUUCUCCAAUAACCUAUAGAAACAAAAAAUUUAAAACAAAGAAAAACUUUCUAAUAACCACAUUUAAAAAGUAAAAAGAAAAAAAUUGUUACACACAAAGGAUGCAGUGAUGGUUAAUUUUAUGUGUCAACAUUAAUUUAAUUAAAGUUAAUGUCAAACAUUAUUCAGGAUAUGUCUUUGAGGGUGUUUCUGGGUGACAAUGACAUUUAAAUCUGUAGACUGAUUAAAGCAGACACCCUCCCUAAUUAAUGAUGGGGGAGCCUCAACCGGUCAGUUGAUGGCCUGAAUAGGACAAAAGGGCUGACCCUCCUGAGAGUAAGAGUGAAUUUCUCCUGCCUGAGUCAGACUGGAACUACACCAUUGGCUCUUCUGGGUCUCCAGCUUGCCAACUGCAGAUCUUGGGACUUCUCAGCCUCCAUAAUCACAUGAACCAAUUCCUUAAAAUAAAUCUCUUUCUCUCUAUAUACAUACAUCCUAUUAGUUCUGUUUCUCUGAAGAAAUGAUUAAUACAGAUGUCUUGGGGCAUCAGGCUUUAUUUCUC